UGGGGAAUAUUGGACAAUGGGCGAAAGCCUGAUCCAGCCAUGCCGCGUGUGUGAAGAAGGUCUUCGGAUUGUAAAGCACUUUAAGUUGGGAGGAAGGGCAGUAAGCGAAUACCUUGCUGUUUUGACGUUACCGACAGAAUAAGCACCUGCUAACUCUGUGCCAGCAGCCGCGGUAAUACAGAGGGUGCAAGCGUUAAUCGGAAUUACUGGGCGUAAAGCGCGCGUAGGUGGUUCGUUAAGUUGAAUGUGAAAGCCCCGGGCUCAACCUGGGAACUGCAUCCAAAACUGGCGAGCUAGAGUAGGGCAGAGAGUGGUGGAAUUUCCUGUGUAGCGGUGAAAUGCGUAGAUAUAGGAAGGAACACCAGUGGCGAAGGCGACCACCUGGGCUCAUACUGACACUGAGGUGCGAAAGCGUGGGGAGCAAACAGG
rnacentral:rRNA from 1 species